UACGGAGGGUGCAAGCGUUAUUCGGAUUUAUUGGGCGUAAAGAGCGUGUAGGUGGUUGGGAUAGUCAGACGUGAAAGCCUUCUGCUCAACAGAAGAAGUACGUCUGAAACUGCCCAACUUGAGUACGAGAGAGGAAAGUGGAAUUCCCAGUGUAGAGGUGAAAUUCGUAGAUAUUGGGAGGAACACCUGUGGCGAAGGCGACUUUCUGGAUCGAUACUGACGCUGAGACGCGAAAGCGUGGGGAGCAACAGGAUUAAGAUACCCGUCAGUA
rnacentral:rRNA from 1 species